GCUCAGGAUGAACGCUAGCUACAGGCUUAACACAUGCAAGUCGAGGGGAAACGACAUCGAAAGCUUGCUUUUGAUGGGCGUCGACCGGCGCACGGGUGAGUAACGCGUAUCCAACCUGCCCACCACUUGGGGAUAACCUUGCGAAAGUAAGACUAAUACCCAAUGACGUCUCUAGAAGACAUCUGAAAGAGAUUAAAGAUUUAUCGGUGAUGGAUGGGGAUGCGUCUGAUUAGCUUGUUGGCGGGGUAACGGCCCACCAAGGCUACGAUCAGUAGGGGUUCUGAGAGGAAGGUCCCCCACAUUGGAACUGAGACACGGUCCAAACUCCUACGGGAGGCAGCAGUGAGGAAUAUUGGUCAAUGGACGAGAGUCUGAACCAGCCAAGUAGCGUGCAGGAUGACGGCCCUAUGGGUUGUAAACUGCUUUUAUAAGGGAAUAAAGUGAGUCUCGUGAGACUUUUUGCAUGUACCUUAUGAAUAAGGACCGGCUAAUUCCGUGCCAGCAGCCGCGGUAAUACGGAAGGUCCGGGCGUUAUCCGGAUUUAUUGGGUUUAAAGGGAGCGUAGGCCGGAGAUUAAGCGUGUUGUGAAAUGUAGACGCUCAACGUCUGCACUGCAGCGCGAACUGGUUUCCUUGAGUACGCACAAAGUGGGCGGAAUUCGUGGUGUAGCGGUGAAAUGCUUAGAUAUCACGAAGAACUCCGAUUGCGAAGGCAGCUCACUGGAGCGCAACUGACGCUGAAGCUCGAAAGUGCGGGUAUCGAACAGGAUUAGAUACCCUGGUAGUCCGCACGGUAAACGAUGGAUGCCCGCUGUUGGUCUGAAUAGGUCAGCGGCCAAGCGAAAGCAUUAAGCAUCCCACCUGGGGAGUACGCCGGCAACGGUGAAACUCAAAGGAAUUGACGGAAGGGC
rnacentral:rRNA from 1 species